CCUACGGGGGGCAGCAGUGGGGAAUCUUUCGCAAUGGGCGAAAGCCUGACGCAGCGACGCCGCGUGAGGGAUGAAGGUCUUCGGAUCGUAAACCCCUGUCAGUAGGGAAGAACGGUCACUGUGCUAAUCAGCAGUGAAUUGACGGUACCUGCAAAGGAAGCACCGGCUAACUCCGGGCCAGCAGCCGCGGUAAUACGGAGGGUGCGGGCGUUAAUCGGAAUGACGGGGCGUAAAGCGCUCGUAGGCGGUAUGUCAAGUCAAGGGUGAAAUCCCCGCGCUCAACGUGGGAACUGCCUUUGAAACUGGCAAACUUGAGUGUGUGAGAGGAUAGUGGAAUUCCAGGUGUAGGAGUGAAAUCCGUAGAUAUCUGGAGGAACAUCAGUGGCGAAGGCGACUAUCUGGCACAUAACUGACGCUGAGGAGCGAAGGCGUGGGUAGCAAACGGGAUUAGAUACCCCGGUAGUC
rnacentral:rRNA from 1 species